UACGGAAGGCAGCAGUGGGGAAUAUUGCACAAUGGGCGGAAGCCUGAUGCAGCGACGCCGCGUGAGGGAUGACGGCCUUCGGGUUGUAAACCUCUUUCAGUAGGGAAGAAGCGAAAGUGACGGUACCUGCAGAAGAAGCGCCGGCUAACUACGUGCCAGCAGCCGCGGUAAUACGUAGGGCGCAAGCGUUAUCCGGAUUUAUUGGGCGUAAAGAGCUCGUAGGCGGUUUGUCGCGUCUGCCGUGAAAGUCCGAGGCUCAACCUCGGAUCUGCGGUGGGUACGGGCAGACUAGAGUGAUGUAGGGGAGACUGGAAUUCCUGGUGUAGCGGUGAAAUGCGCAGAUAUCAGGAGGAACACCGAUGGCGAAGGCAGGUCUCUGGGCAUUUUACUGACGCUGAGGAGCGAAAGCAUGGGGAGCGAACAGGGAUUAGAUACC
rnacentral:rRNA from 1 species